UGGUGGAGUGAUCUGUCUGGUCAAUUUCGGUAACGAGCGAGAUCCCUAUGUGAUAGUUGCACUGGGCGGGUGUUCCUGUGCCAGUGUUCCUAUCCAGACCGUCUGCGUAAGCUGAAGGAAGUUGGGGGCUAAAUCA
rnacentral:rRNA from 1 species